rnacentral:rRNA from 1 species
UACAGAGGCCCCAAGCGUUAGGCGGAAUCACUUGGCUUAAAGCGUGUGUAGGCGGAUCGUUAAGUGUCUUGUGAAAUCCCACGGCUCACCCGUGGAACUGCUGGGCAUACUGGCGAUCUUGGGCCAACUAGGGGCAGCCGGAACAAGCGGUGGAGCGGUGAAAUGCGUAGAUAUGCGGAGGAACACCGAUGGCGAAGGCAAUCCCCUGGACCUGUACUGACGCUCAUGCACGAAAGCGUGGGGAGCAAACAGG